rnacentral:rRNA from 1 species
GACGAACGCUGGCGGCGUGCUUAACACAUGCAAGUCGAACGGAAAGGCCCUGCUUUUGUGGGGUGCUCGAGUGGCGAACGGGUGAGUAACACGUGAGUAACCUGCCCUUGACUUUGGGAUAACUUCAGGAAACUGGGGCUAAUACCGGAUAGGAGCUCCUGCUGCAUGGUGGGGGUUGGAAAGUUUCGGCGGUUAGGGGAUGGACUCGCGGCUUAUCAGCUUGUUGGUGGGGUAGUGGCUUACCAAGGCUUUGACGGGUAGCCGGCCUGAGAGGGUGACCGGCCACAUUGGGACUGAGAUACGGCCCAGACUCCUACGGGAGGCAGCAGUGGGGAAUAUUGCACAAUGGGCGGAAGCCUGAUGCAGCAACGCCGCGUGCGGGAUGACGGCCUUCGGGUUGUAAACCGCUUUCGCCUGUGACGAAGCGUGAGUGACGGUAAUGGGUAAAGAAGCACCGGCUAACUACGUG